rnacentral:rRNA from 1 species
CCUACGGGAGGCAGCAGUGGGGAAUAUUGGGCAAUGGGCGCAAGCCUGACCCAGCAACGCCGCGUGAAGGAAGAAGGCUUUCGGGGUGUAAACUUCUUUUCUCAGGGACGAAGAAAGUGACGGUACCUGAGGAAUAAGCCACGGCUAACUACGUGCCAGCAGCCGCGGGAUUCCGUAGGUGGCAAGCGUUAUCCGGAUUUAUUGGGUGGAAAGGGCGUGUAGGCGGGAGCGCAAGUACGAUGUGAAAACUCAGGGCUCAAACCUGAGCCUGCAUUUGAAACUGUGUUUCUUGAGUGCUGGGGAGGCAAUCGGAAUUCCGUGUGUAGCGGUGAAAUGCGUAGAUAUACGGAGGAACACCAGUGGCGAAGGCGGAUUGAUGGACAGUAACUGACGCUGAGGCGCGAAAGCGUGGGGAGCAAACAGGAUUAGAUACCCCGGUAGUC